rnacentral:rRNA from 1 species
AACGGCCGCGGUAUUUUGACCGUGCAAAGGUAGCGCAAUCACUUGUCUUUUAAAUGAAGACCUGUAUGAAUGGCAUAACGAGGGCUUAACUGUCUCCUUUUUCCUAUCAAUGAAAUUGAUCUCCCCGUGCAGAAGCGGGGAUAAAAACAUAAGACGAGAAGACCCUAUGGAGCUUAAAACGCAAGAACAGAAUAAUACUCCUUCAUAUAAGCCAAAAUAUGAAAUCCAAUUAUAAACCUGUUCAAAUGUUUUUGGUUGGGGCGACCACGGAGUAUAAUUAAACCUCCACGAGGAAUAAAGACAUUCCUUUUCAUUUAAGGGUGACAACCCUAAAAAACAGAACAUCUGACCACCUUGAUCCGGCAAAGCCGAUCAACGAACCGAGUUACCCUAGGGAUAACAGCGCAAUCCUCUUUUAGAGUCCCUAUCGACAAGAGGGUUUACGACCUCGAUGUUGGAUCAGGACAUCCUAAU